AUUGAACGCUGGCGGCAGGCCUAACACAUGCAAGUCGAGCGAGCGGCGGACGGGUGAGUAAUGUCUGGGAAACUGCCUGAUGGAGGGGGAUAACUACUGGAAACGGUAGCUAAUACCGCAUACCAUCAGAUGUGCCCAGAUGGGAUUAGCUAGUAGGGGGGGUAACGGCUCACCUAGGCGACGAUCCACAGCUGGUAUGAGCGGAUGACCGGCUACACUGGAACUGAGACACGGUCCAGACUCCGACGGGAGGCAGCGGUGGGGAAUAUUGCGCAAUGGGCGCAAGCCUGAUGCAGCCAUGCCGCGUGUGUGAAGAAGGCCUUCGGGUGGUAAAGUACUUUCAGCGGGGAGGCGUUACCCGAAGAAGAAGCACCGGCUAACUCCGUGCCAGCAGCCGCGGUAAUAC
rnacentral:rRNA from 1 species